AAUCAACGCUGGCGGCGUGCCUAACACAUGCAAGUCGCACGAGAAAGGGACUUCGGUCCUGAGUACAGUGGCGCACGGGUGAGUAACACGUGAAUGAUCUACCUUCGAGUGGGGAAUAACUGAGAGAAAUCUUAGCUAAUACCGCAUAAUACCUACGGGUCAAAGCAGCAAUGCGCUUGAAGAGGAGUUCGCGGCAGAUUAGUUAGUUGGCAGGGAAUGGCCUACCAAGACGAUGAUCUGUAUCCGGCCUGAGAGGGCGCACGGACACACUGGAACUGAAACACGGUCCAGACUCCUACGGGAGGCAGCAGUGGGGAAUUUUGCGCAA
rnacentral:rRNA from 1 species